rnacentral:lncRNA from 1 species
AGGUGGAAGGCAACUUGGGCCAAAAAGGCCCAAGUGGGAAAGUGCCUCCUUCGCCUAAGGAAGGAGGCCGAAUUGGGAGAGGGGGAGGAGUCAGACUCCUCCUCCCUGGUCUUUCCCCCUUGGUGGCAGAGCUCCCUCUCCUCUCCAUCCUAUAUAUACAUGAGGAUUUGUGCUCUUUUGUUCAUACAAGUUUUGGAGCCUCCUCUAGUUCUACCCGUUCUAGUUGACUAAUCAGAGCUAGGAUAAUCCUCCUGUCCCCAUUAUUAGAAGCCAUGUGUAGUUCUAAUCUCCUCCCUCUAAUUCUUGGAUGACGAUUAGCUCUGGACGGUGAAGCGUUGCCGGAUCGUGAAGGAUGCACGCUUGCAACCAACUAGAGAGGUCGUGCUUUCGGUCUUCAGUUCGAGGGACUGUUUGUGGGCGGUGCGAGGGAUCGUUCAUCGACGGUUCGAGGGACACCAAGUACGAUCUACGUCGACACAUUCUUCUUCCGCUGCAACUCAGUGACGGUAACGAUCGUGAUCUCAACCCGUUAUGCAUCUUCAUAUUGAUCUUGGGUACAGUGAUCGUAGGUGCAUUUUUUUGUUUUCUACUACAUUUCCCAACACUCUUCCCCUCGCACAGAUAACCAUCAGCCGAGCCACUCCAUCCAACUUCUCUCUUCCACAACCACAAUAAGAAAACCUCCACCGCUCCAUGGCGUUUGGCCUCGGAUGGGACUAGGUUCUGCAGGAGAUCCUUCGACGGCAACAACAUCAAGCUUUCCUACACGCAUGAGGUGAGAACCUGGUACAUCAAUGUUGCAGUCCUGAAGAAUCAUGCGCGCGCGGUGAGGGCCUGCGCCACGCAUGAGGAGAAGUCAUGAAUGCCAGAACUCCACCGCCCACUCAUCGAGAACUUGGUCCGGGCGAUGGGAGAGGUCAGGGAUUCCUCGGAUCCAUUCUAGCGGUCACGCCGGUACAUGUACCAGAACCACGACUAACUCCACCUAGACUACAAGCUCGAUACAGUGGUACCAGUGCUGCCCGUCGCUCUGAUGGAGAUGGAGCUGCCGUAGGUGGAGUAGCAACAGAUGGAGCAGCAGAGGUGGAGACUGGCACAAGCAACGAAAGGAAGAAGAAGAAGAAGAAGCAGCGCAUCCAUGUGCUACUUCAUCGAUCGCUCCAUCUUCUCAAGCUACAACAAGAGUGAGUUUGAUGCAGCACCUAGGUCUUAGUUAGUUUCUACAGCAAGAUCUGAACCAAUAUAUGUGUUAUGUUAGUUUCUGAACUUAACUGUGUCCGAAGAACUAUGUGUGCUUUCCAUCUGAGUACCCUUUCUAUCCAAAUUGUGCUAUGAUAUCUAUCUAUCUAUCUAGAGAACUCAUCUAUCUAUGAUAGCUAUCUAUCUGAAUAUUUGUGUGUGAUGAAACUUUAUUGUGUGUUUGCUUCUGAACAACCAUGUAUGUUUGCGUCUAAUGAAACUCCUCUAUUUGAAUAUCACAAGAAAUGUCAUCGUGCUCAUAUUAUCUGAAUAUUUCAAGACAAGUUAUGUGUGAUAAAACUUUGGUGGUCAUAUUAUCUAAAUCUUAAACUUUGGUGCUCUAGGUUUCAAUGCAAAGAACAUGUUCAGGUUAACAUAGGUGUGCUCUAGGUGUCAAUGCAAAAAUAAAAUGUUAUCAUGAAACUAUAGGUUUCAACCUAGUCUUUCUUCAGUUAGUUUUCCAUGGAACUAUAGGUGUGCUCUAGGUGUCAAUGCAAAGAUAAAAUGUUAUGAAACAGAGAAUCCUUCUAUUUUGUAGUAUUUCAUAGUUUGAUUGAAUAUAGUCUGAACAUUACAAGUCUGGAUAUUGCAUGUUGUCUCUCUCCUAGGUAGGUUCAGUUGAUGUCUUUAAUCAACACAACUUUGAAACUAGUUUGAACAUUAAAUUGAGCACACGUACUAACAUUUCACAUCAGUAAAGUCACUUAAAACAUGUACAAUGACUCACUCCUUCUCUGGUCAACUUGUCCACUGCACCACUCAACCCAAAUUUUACUCAUGUACCCACUGCACAACACCCUGCAAAAUUCAAUAGUGGCAUUUAGUGUCAGUUACAUGCAUCGCAUAAGGAUUUUUCAAAUGCAAACUACAUAUAUCAAUCGGUAAAGUAACUAACCUUAGAAUGAUUAACCAUUUGAAGGCACCAAGUUAGAUGAGUACUCCAGAUAGAUAGUCUAAAACUCUAUUUCAGAACCAUAAAAUUCAGUCAAACAAGACAAAUUUCAGUUAAUUUAGAGUCCUAAAAUUCAGCAAACAUGACAUGUUUUAGUUAAUUUAGAAUCCUAAAAUUCAGUCAAACAUGACAUGUUUUAGUUAAUUUAGAGUCCUAAAAUUCAGUCAAACAAGACAUGUUUCAGUUAAUUUAGAGUUCUAAAAUCCAGUCAAACAGGACAACAAGAUUCAGUCAAAGAAGACAACAAGAUCCAGUCAAACAAGUUCUGGUCCAUUCAGUCACAAACAACAACAACAAGAUCCUGUUAACUAGGUCCAACAACGAAAUUUGCUACAAUUCCAGCAAACCAUACUUCACUUAUCCGGAUCCCUAGAAUUCCAGCAACGACAUUUGCUAGUGGAGAAAGGAAGGCAACUCACCUAGGGGCUCGACCAUCACCGUGAGGGCAUGGGCGAGAGCUGCUGCCGCCGGCACUGGCGAUGAUGAAAUACUCUAAAAUGAAUAUGGUGUUGCCACAACAAUCUUCAUCCCCUCCUUGCAAAGGACGCCCCCGCCAUGCCGGCCAACCACGCUUCAUGCUCUGUCCACCACGCCUUGUCCUCACCACUACCUCGCCGAUGGAUUCGGAGCCGCCACCACCGCCAUGCCCAUGAGAGAGAGAGAGAGAGAGAGAGAGAGAGAGGAGAGGGAGAGGAGUAACUUGAGGGAGAGAAAGCGAGGGACGGGAGUGACGGAGGGAGCGCUCGGGUUGGGCCGCCCCAGUCGCUUCGGACAGAGCUGUUAAUGGCGCGCCGUCGACGUACUCGAACCACGAGGGAUCAACCAUGUCAAAAUGUGCUAAAAAGGCUCAAUGUUUUUGUCACCGUCAGAUUUUCGGUUCGGUGCGAAAUGUCACAAAUCGUGAAGUGAUAGUUUUCUGCUAAUCAUGACACAAAUGUGGUGCUUCUGGGCCUAAACCAUUUCCUCCUGGGGCCCAAACUCCCGGUCACGCAUGACGCAAACCAAAUGUAGACGUCGGCCAGUCCAAGUCCAAUAUAUGACACGGGUUAAAGCAAACAGAUUUGAGCCGAACGAUUGAAAAAUCCAACGGCUAAUACUGGGAGUAAAGUGUGGCCCGAAUCUUCUGGUGUUUUCUGGGCCUGGACUAAUUUCUCCUCAGGCCCAAUAGCUCCACGGUCACGCAUGACGCAGACCCAAUAUGGACAGUCCAAGUCCAAUAGCACCACCUCCACGCGGAAACCCCAGCCAGGACAGCAACCCAUUCGCAAUCCCCACCUCUAUAUAAGCGGCCCCGUGGAUCCACACCAAACCCUAGUCGCAGCUCUUCCGUCUCCCGCCGCCGCCGCAGCCGCCGCCUGCCUCGAGCCGCCGUCGCCAUGGGGAGAAGUAAGCACGCGCUUUACCCUCCCCCUCUCGCCCUUGCGUGUAUGUUACUCUAGUCUAGCGUUCAUCUGGCCGUAGCUAUGGUUCGUGCAAUCGUUUGAAUUGGCGCGGUUGCGUGUGAAUCUGGCCUAGAUCCGUCGUAGCCGCGCGGAACCUGUGGUAUGUGUUACUCCCGAUGUUUAUUUAGUUUCUGUCUGGUGGAUUUGGCAAGAUAAAUUCAUGCCCGUAGCUGUUCUCAUGUGGUGAUUCGAAACAACAUUUGAGUAGUUCAAGCUGCGGGUCAUACUCUGUUCGUUUCAUUUUAGUGUCUGUUUGUUAAAUGGUGCCCGAAAAAUGCUCUAGGCUUCUCGGAUGUUGAUAUUUCCUGUGCUCUUUCAUGUACUAUGCUAGGAAAUGAAGAUCUGUAUGCUCUUGCUUUUAAGUUAUUCUAAGCACUGCUGCUGUUGGUAGGGUUGUAUGGCCAAUGAUAUUCUAUGAAGCUGAAUGAGUAGUUGUUGUGGCUAGUUGUUGAUCAACUUGCCAACUGCUCAUGUUGAAUCAUGGUAGUUAGUAAUCUCUUCUUUCCCUGUCAAUGGUAACCUAUCUUAAAUUGAGUCUGAUUGUACAUGUUGCUCAUAUCUAGAGUUGAAUGUGGUGCAAAUUAAACUGUUUCAUUCUCUGUACCUGGAAAGAAGCAGUGUCUUAACUGAGUUGCACAUUCUUUUGAAUGUUCACUGCAAAUUAAAAUGUUAUUUUGCAUGUUUGCUGCUUUUAGUUGUUCUGUUCUGGUAAUGACAAUUCUCUGGUCAGGACCUGCGAGGUGCUAUCGGCAGAUCAAGAACAAGCCAUACCCCAAGUCAAGGUACUGCCGUGGUGUGCCUGACCCUAAGAUCAGGAUCUAUGAUGUCGGCAUGAAGAAGAAGGGUGUCGAUGAGUUCUCUCACUGUGUUCACCUUGUCUCAUGGGAGAAGGAGAAUGUGUCCAGUGAGGCUCUUGAGGCUGCCCGUAUUGCUUGCAACAAGUACAUGACUAAGCAUGCAGGAAAGGAUGCCUUCCACCUCAGGGUCAGGGUUCACCCGUUCCAUGUGCUCCGUAUCAACAAGAUGCUUUCGUGUGCCGGGGCUGAUAGGCUCCAGACUGGUAUGAGGGGUGCUUUCGGGAAGCCGCAGGGAGUCUGUGCCCGUGUUGCCAUUGGGCAGGUCCUCCUUUCUGUGCGGUGCAAGCCCAACAAUGCCAUCCAUGCUACUGAGGCCCUUCGUCGUGCCAAGUUCAAGUUCCCUGGCCGCCAAAAGAUCAUUGAGAGCAGGAAGUGGUAAGCACUGAAGAUUGUUUCAUGUGCUGAGAUGAUAUUCUUGUCAAAAUUUCUGUGUGCCAUAUCUCUAAUUUUGUGCUGCCUCUUUCAGGGGCUUCACCAAGUUCAACCGCAAUGACUACCUCAAGUUCAAGAGUGAGGGCAGGAUCUUGCCUGAUGGAGUCAACGCUAAGGUAGAUAUACUUGAUCCUGGGCAAUUGUUUUGAAGAUGAACUUAUUUAUCCUGCCUUGGUAAACUGUUGUCCCUGCAUCAUCUAAUUGUUUCAUGUCUGGCUUUGCAGCUGCUCGGAUGCCAUGGCCGCCUUGCAAACCGUGCCCCUGGACAAGCUUUCCUGUCUGCUGCAUAAUCUAGCAGAAGAAGUCUAUCCGUUCUAUCGAAACUUAUUUUACCGUGUGGAACUUAGAUUCCAAGUGCCUGUGGUGCUAUGUUAUUUUGUCUGAAUGUUGUGUCGAACCUUGUUAUGGAAGAUAUUAUCUAUUUUGUGAUGAUGGUACUAAUAUGAAUGGCCUGUUGAAUCAUUACUACUUGAAUUCGUUUGUCAAUGUAUUUUGCUGUGGUUGUUGUCCUGUGUUUGAAUUUGAUGCUUCAUUUUGUGAAGCUACCCAAGGAA